rnacentral:rRNA from 1 species
AUGUCAAACAAAAGCUUGGACUACUUCAUUUUCGAUCCAAACAGGAGGACAUCAUUAAACUGGAUGAUACGACUUAAAAUAGUUGAAGGAAUAGCCCAAGGGCUUCUAUACCUUCACGAGCAUUCACGGCUGCGUAUCAUCCAUAGGGAUCUGAAAGCAAGCAAUAUUCUGUUAGACUCCGAGUUAAAUCCUAAGAUCUCUGAUUUUGGCAUGGCAAGGAUAUUUUCGUCAAAUGCCACUCAAACAAAAACAAGCAGGCUGGUUGGAACAUAUGGUUACAUGGCCCCUGAGUACGCAUUUGAGGGCCUCCUUUCCAUCAAGUCAGAUGUUUGCAGUUUUGGGGUAUUGCUUCUUGAGAUUAUAAGUGGAAAGAGGAGUGCAGGAUUUCAGCAUUAUGGAGAAGGAGAAUUUCACAAUCUUCUUCAAUAUGCAUGGCAGAUGUGGGAUGAAAAAAGAUGGCAUGAAUUCAUUGAUCAAUCAAUUGGUGAUGAAUAUGAACCAGGAGACAUGAUGAAAUGUCUCAGGUUGGCACUGAUGUGUGUCCAAGUAAAAGCAGUAGACCGUCCCACUAUGUCUGAUAUUGUUGCAAUGCUUAGCAGUGACGACAUCACCGUACCAGAGCCAAGGCAACCAGCUUACUCCUAUACCAGAGUAGAUGUGUCAGUAAACAUCAAUUUAUCAUGCACCAGAAAUGAUAUAACCCUCACCACUACUGAUGGUAGAUAA